rnacentral:sRNA from 1 species
GCUGGGCACCGUGGCAUUCCUGUAAUCUCAGCUACUAAGGAGGCUGAGGCAGGAGGAUCCCUUGAGCCCAAAAGUUGCAGGCCAGCCUGUGUAAUAGAGCAAGACCCUGUCUCCA